rnacentral:misc_RNA from 1 species
GAAAUGCGAUAAGUAGUGUGAAUUGCAGAAUUCAGUGAAUCGUCGAAUCUUUGAACGCACAUUGCGCCCCUCGGCAUUCCGUGGGGCAUGCCUGUUCGAGCGUCAUCUACACCCUCAAGCUCUGCUUGGUGUUGGGCGUCUGUCCCGCCUCCGCGCGCGGACUCGCCCCAAAUGCAUUGGCAGCGGUUCCUUGCCCCCCUCUUUGCGCAGCACAUUGCCAUUCGAGGCGGCGGCGGCCCGCGUCCAACAAGCUCAACCCCCCCGUCUUUGACCUCGGAUCAGGUAGGGAUACCCGCUGAACUUAAGC